UGAACGCUGCAGCAAAGACAAGAAGU
rnacentral:piRNA from 1 species